rnacentral:lncRNA from 1 species
GUCAUCGACACCCUCUGUUCUUUAUGUGGGUGGACAACCUGGAGGUUUGUUAAACUACAGAUUUUGGUGCAGUCGUUGGAAGAUGAUCUCAAGAGUCUGCCUUUCUAACAAGCUCUUGGGAUGUGGAGAUGCUACUAUUCCAAGGAACACAUUGAAUGUCAAGGAGUUAGAAAGACGGGGACUUUGGAUCAUAUGAAACAUUAUAAAUUAACCUCCAGGAAAAGGGAUAUCUUGUCUCUUAUGUGUUUCAUUUUAUGUCUUUUUUACUAUGUGAAAAAAAAAAACAAUAGUUGCUCAUCUACUUUAUGACUGAUUUUUAAUGAAAGAAAAUAUAUUGCUAAUUUGUAAUAUAAUUAAUAUUUUCUGUUUUUGUGUGUAUGAUUAGUCAGUUACUUUAGAGGGAGUUCAUUAGGCUUUGGUAAUAAGUUCAGGCUCUGGGUCAUGUUUUGUUUUGUUUAUCUUUUUUUUUAGGUCUGCACCCACGGCAUGUGGAACUUCCCAGGCUAGGGGUCAGAUCUGAGCUGUAGCCACUGGCCUACACCACAGCCACAGCAACAAUGGAUCCGAGCUGCCUCUGUGACCUACACCACAGCUCAUGGCAACGCCAAAUCCUUAACCCACUGAGUGAGGCCAGGGAUUGGACCUGUGUCCUCACGGAUGCUAGUCAGAUUCGUUUCCACUGAGCCAUGAUGGGAGUUCCUGGGUCAUGCUUUUGGUUUUGAAGUAUAGUUGACACGUUUUGAUCUCUCAGUCAAUUGAAAAAAAAAAAAAUCCACCACACUUGACUCUUAAGCAUCAUCUUGUUUGUAUUUUAGACAAAGUAUAUUGAACUAAUACAUAAAACAUUCUUAAAAUCCAUAAAUCUGUAGAAUGCAGUAUAUUUCAUCUUUUUGCUGAUAUAUUUCUUAGCAUAUGUAGGGUUUAUGGAAAAGGUCCUAUGAUGUAAAAAUAUUAAGUAAUAUCUUCAAUGACAAUUUCUAAAAGAUCCAUUGGAAAUGAAUGAUAACAUUAAUUACUCUUGCAAACACAAAUUUAUAAGUUUUUCUCAUGAAAGUUAAAAUUUGCAUGUCACAGAUUGAUGCAGUCGAUGCAGUUUGAUGAGUCUCUUUGGGCCCAAAAGUGUAUAUUAUGGCCUUAGGUCACCCGGGGACUGGAACCCUCUCUGGGGAGAAAAUUAGUUUGACCUGUGUGGGGAAUUUCAUUAAAAUGAACUUGUUAUUCGAAUGCAGAUUUUGUUUAUAAGCACUACUUCACAAAACCAAAAAGAGGGUUGUUUACCAAGAAAUGAGAUUUCAGGAGCUAGUUUAUAAGGUCUAUGAAGUAAACAAAGUUACGAAUUUUCAUUCUUUCAUGUUUAUUUCUUCGUCAUGUUAUCUGAUUUUCUAUUUAUGUUAAUAGAAGAAUUCAAGUCCAACAAUGCAGUUAGAUGGCCAGGAACAAACAUAUGUUUUUAAGUUAAGCUUUUGGUCCAUUUUAUUCUUUUAGGAUUUGAGUAAUCGAUAUUCCUUUUUUUAAUUGCAAUUCUCUUGUGCCGUGACAGCUGACCUGUCUAAUACAUGCCAGUUGAUUUCUCUAAGUCCUUUGAGAGUUUUCUAAUCUACAUAAGAGAUUAUUUCUCUCAUCAUCAGUAAGAGGCAAGAGAGGCCCUAGUGGCAGUUUUCCAUUCCUCUUGUCUGUAGCCUGUCAUUGCAGUGCAUGUCCAACAAGAGCUUGAACGUCAGAUUUUUCUAAGUGUCCCUUCUACUCGCUGCAUGAACAUCAGUAAUUCUCAAAUACUGUUUUCUCAGUCAGUAAUAAUAAUAACAAUAAUAAUAAUACCUUUCUCUUGGAACUAUGAUGAAGGUAAUGAAAAGGACAUAUAUAAAGUAUUUAGCACAAUCUCUGACCCAUAAUGAUAUUCAAUAAGCAUAUUUAUAUGCUUCCCUUUUUUUAGUUUCCUUUUUUCCCUCUUAAGCUUAUGAAGUCCUUAACCAAGUACAUUGUAUUAACUGUCAAUAUCGUGCAGUUGGCAGAAGUCUUGGUAGAUGUCUGUUCCAGUGCCUUGGAAGGCUCUUCUCAUUCUACAUUGAAAGAGAAAGGUCUUAGUUAUUUAUUUAUUUAAUGAUUUUUAUUUUUUCCAUUAUAGCUGGUUUACAGUGUUCUCUCAGUUUCUCCUCUAUAGCAGAGUAACCCAGUCACAUGUAUAUACACAUUCUUUUUCUCAUAUUAUCCCCCAUCAUGUUCCAUUGUAAGUGACUAGAUAUAGUUCCCUGGGCUAGACAGCAAAAUCUCAUUGCUUGUCCACUCCAAAUGCAAUAGUUUGCAUCUGUUAACCCCAAACUCCCAGUCCAUCCCACUCCUUCGCCCCCCGCCCCUGGCAACCACAAGUCUAUUCUCCAAGUUCAUGAGUUGCUUUUCUUUGGAAAGGUUUAAUUGUGCCAUAUAUUAGAUUACAGACAUAAGUGAUAUCAUAUGGUAUUUGUCUUUCUCUUUCUGACUUACUUCACUUAGAUGAGAGUCUCUAGUUCCAUCCCUGUUGCUGCAAAUGGCAUUAUUUGGUUCCUUUUUAUGGCUGAGUAGUAUUCCAUUGUGUAUAUAUACCACAUCUCCUUAAUCCAGUCAUCUGUAAAUGGACAUUUGGGUUGUUUCCAUGUCUUGGCUGUUGUGAGUAGUGCUUCAGUGAACAUAUGGGUGCAUAUGUCUUUUUCGAGGAAAGUUUUGUCUGGAUAUAUGCCCAAGAGUAGGAUUGCUGGGUCGUAUAUUUAGUUUUCUGAGGUACCUCCAUACUGUUUUCCAUAGUGGUUGUACCAAUUUACAUUCCCACCAACAGUGUAGGAGGGUUCCCUUUUCUCCACACCCUCUCCAGCAUUUGUUAUUUGUUGACUUUUUAAUCAUGGCCAUUCUGACAGGUGGGAGGUGGUGCCUCAUGGUAACUGUGAUUUGCUUUUCUCUAAUAAUUAGUGAUGUUGAGCAUUUUUUCAUGUCCUGUUGGCCAUCUGUAUAUCUUCUUUGGAGAAAUGCCUAUUCAGGUCUUUUGUCCAUUUUAUCAAUUGGGUUGUUGGGUUUUUUUGUUUGUUUGUUUGUUUUGCUGUUGAAUUGUAUAAGCCCUUAUAAGUUGCAUCAUUUGAAACUGUUUUCUCCCAUUCCGUAGGCUGUCCUUUUUUUAUUGUUUCCUUUGCUGUGCAAAAACUUGUAAGUUUGAUGAGACCCUAUUGGUUUGUUUUUGCUUUUAUUUCUGUUGUCUUGGGAGUCUGACCUGAGAAAACAUUUCUAAGGUUGAUGUCAGAGAAUGUUUUGCCUGUGUUCUCUUCCAAGACUUUGACAAUGUCUUAUGUUUAGUCUUUAAGCCGUUUUGAUUUUAUUUUUGUGCAUCGUGUGGGGGCGUGUUCCAGUUUCACUGAUUUACAUGUGCCUGUUCAGUUUCCCCAGCACCACUUGCUGAAAAGACUCUUUUUUUCCCAUUUUAUAUUUUUGUCUCCUUUGUCGAAGAUUAAUUGACUGUAGGUGUCUGGGUUUAUUUCUGGGUUGUCUCUUCUGUUCCAUUGGUCUAUAUGUCUGUUUUGGUACCAGUACCACACUGUCUUGAUUACUGUGGCUUUGUAAUAUUGUCUGAAGUCUGGGAGAGUGAUGCCUCCUGUUUGGUGUUUGUUCCUCAGGAUUUCUUUGGUAGUUCUUGGUCUUUUAUGAUUCCAUAUAAAUUUUUGGAUUGUUUGUUCUAGUUCUGUGAAAAAUGUCAUGGAUAAUUUGAUAGGGAUUGCAUUGAAUCUGUAGAUUGCUUUGGGUAGUAAGGCCAUUUUACAAUAUUAAUUCUUCCAACCCAGGAGCAUAAAAUACCUUUCCAUUUCUUUGAAUCCUGUUUAAUUUCCUUGAUUAGUGUCUUAUAGUUCCCAGCAUAUAAAUUUUUCACCUCCUUAGUCAGGUUUAUUCCUAGGUAUUUAAUUUUUGUCAGUGGGUGACAUUUUUCUGCUUAACUUUUUUCUUCCUUUCCUUAGCUUAAAUCUGAUCUUAAUAGUUCUCCUCUAUAAAGUAUUUAUCAAGGGCCCUAAAAUAUAUACAUUAUUCAUUUAAAUACAUAUAUUUAUAAAGAAGUCAAGUGCACAUAAAUAAUGGCUUGGUUCAUAAUGUAUUUUUAACCUUGUUUAGGUGAGAUGGAACUGAGCCCACAACUGUAGUGAAAUGUCACUUUCCUAAAGACGGUUAUUCGGAAGAGAGUUUUCAUUCUUUAGGUCAUCAUUAGUGAAAGGCAGAAGGGGAGACUCCAAUCGAGUCAGAAGAAGAAGGGCGUUUCUGUGAAUGUCUUGAAGAGCUACAGGUAAAUUGCACUGGAAGCAGGAAGGUCAUUAGGAAGAAACUGUUUGGCAGAAACUGAAUUCGCUGAAGGAUGGAGUGCGUGUUUACGGCAGAUAAGUUCUUCCUUCUAUAUCGUUUGCAGAUCCAAGUCAUUUAGGGGCUGCUAAUGUUUUCUGCAGUCACCCCUUUACUCUUGGGGUGCUUCAUACUUCAGUCCAUACACCUGACUGUGAUAGAAGGAGGAAUUCUAGCUGUGGCCUUUGGGAGACUGCAAAGCAAGUGGUACUUCCAUGGGCUUAUUACUGGUUGUUUCUAUGCAAGGCUGGCAGAAAAUUGGGUCAUGCAUGAGUUCCUCGGGAAUUAGUCAGCCAGACUACAACCUAGCCACAAUUGCGAAGACUCUGUAAGAGCUACCAAGGAUGUUGGAGAAGCCGGAUUUCCACAGCUUCCCACAGGGGAGUCCUGACACAUUUGUCACUUCCCCAAUCAGUCAGGGGCCUGUUGCUUUGCUAAGUUUACCCAUGGCAGGUCUACUCUCCCCAGAGAUUCUGAGAGCCGGGCCGAGGGGGCAGGGCAGUGUGCAGAAAUAUGCGCUAGAGCCAGGACUGUCAGGCCGAAUGAGUUCUCCCUUGAGCUAGGAAACUUCAGACACUAUCCCGAUGCAGUGCCUUGGACUACAAGGAAAGAAAUUUUCAGAAUAAAGCAUCUUUGUAUGCUUGGCAGUGUAAUAGAUGCAGCAUGCAGAGAGAUUAAUCUGAUCAUUAUCCAAAGACGAGAACAGAAGGGAGAGCCUGGCCUGGCACACCUUUAACCAUGUCUAGUACAACAACAAGGCAAAACAACAACCUGUUUGGAACAUACUUUAUCCUUUUCGAUGCAUGGAUUAGCUCAUUUGACUGUAAUGACUUCACUUGAUGUGAGACAACACAGUAUAUGACUGAGCACAGGGCUGAGAAUCCUAAAACGUGGAGGCCAGUGGCCUUUAAAACUGUGUCAUUAGCAUCGCAGUGACAUUGUGUACACGAUAACGUGGGCAUAAACAAGAUGAUGAGUGGGCAAGUGCUUAGCAAAAGGCUCUGGAGAUAAAAGGCAAUGAUAUUACCAUUAAAGUAUACCAUACCCUGGAAGCAAGGCUGUUUGCUGUUAUUUAUCUGACCUAGGACAGCUAUGAGCUUCCCAGAAAUGUAUAAAGAAGGAAUCUAAGUCAAAACCUCCACAGACUCCUAUGGUUCAUGAAAGUGAGGCUUUGGACUCUUCUCACAUGGACUUUAAAGGAAAAGGUGACCUUUGAAACCUGGAGAAAUCUGGGACAUCGGGGUUGCAUAAGCAGCUCUUUGAAAUGCAGCAAUUCUUUACGGUCAGAUAACACUGGAGGGAAGUUUUUGUAAUUCUGUUGAAUGUGAAAUAAAUAGUACCUGUUUAGGUGCUGAAAACUGAAUGAUGCUGCUUAUUCGCAGAAGCAGCAGCUAUGAGGUAGCAGUUUUGACGUGACUAUGGAGCUAUGGCCAUAAGGAGAAAGAGACAUUAUUAUCCAGCAGACAGUAAUUUUAUUUUCAGACUCUAGAGCAGGUUAGUCUUCAUUUCCCAUGACGUAUUGAAUAUGUGUGUGAACGCAUGUGCACACACAUGACAAAU